rnacentral:tRNA from 1 species
GCCUGAGUGGCUCAGUGGGUUGAGCGUCCCACUUCAACUUAGGUCAUGAUCUCACAGUUCGUGGGUUCAAGCCCCGCGUCGGGCU